rnacentral:misc_RNA from 1 species
UCUUGAAUCUAUUCCACACCUUAUUCUGGAACCUAUAGAUAAUGACACUUUGAUUUAUCAUGUAUCAUUUAUUGAGAAUAGUAGUAGAGCACAGAGUGAUAUACCUGAAUCAUUUCUGACAGAUAGAGAAUUUUAUGCACAAAGAAAAAAACAGGCAAACUUCUGUGUCUGAUAAAUCUGAAAAUUAUAAUUCUGUGACAGAUGGAGAAUCGAUGCACAAAGAAAGAAACGGUGAAACUUCUGUGUCUGAAAAAUUUGAAAAUUACAAUUCUAUGACAGAUUACACAUUAAAUGGUGAUAAAGAAAGUGUUCAAGCUUUAACUUUCUUCAAAGGAAACCUGGGUCAUCUCAACUUAAGCUCCAGAUCUGAGGAUAGACCAGCACUUUCAGAGAAUAUGAGAAAGAAAUGUCUAAAGCUUCUUGAAAGGUAUCCUAAUGGCAUGUAUGCAUCGAAUUUCCCUUCAUAUUUUGAGGAAGUUAACCUUCUUACAUUUGAUCUUCAUAGUCUGGGGUAUCACAGUCUGGCAGAUUUUAUUGAUGAUCUUCCAGAUAUAUUCACGAGGACAUCCAUUGCUGGUAGCAAAAAGGACUGGGUAAUUUACCCUGCAAGUUCUCGAGAUACAGCUGCUGUUGAAAAUGUUAAUCUGUCAAAUGGCAGCAUCUUUCAUAUUGAAAGUAUUAUUCUGAAUACAAGGAAAAUAUUGCAAGGCUAUCCUGAAGGCCUUACUUUAGACAAUUUUCUUCAUGUAUAUAGUAUUAACUGCAAUGAGCCAUUAUAUGUCAGAGAUCUGGGUUUUGAUAAACUUGAACAUUUCCUCCUAAGUAUAGCUGAACGUGUGCCUUUGAAAGUGGAAACAAGUGGUAACUCAAAAACUGUUCAUUUUAUAACAUAUGAUGACAUCCCGAUAAAACCACCUGUAAGUGCUCCUGCAGUUUUUGAAAAGGAGGCUCUUCCAUCUGAUGCUGCUUCCCCAGAUUCAAAAUUUGUAUUGCACCAGCUCCCAUCUGACUUUGAUUAUUCCAAAUAUAUGCCAGUUUAUACAUCAUCAAUAUUUAGCCCUGAUCUUAUAUACCUUCAAAUACAAGGAACUGACACUACAGAUGCAUUGUCAAUACUUAGUGAAGAAUUAGAUUCAUUUUAUCGUGGAUCAUUGAGUAAUAGCUACAAAAUGAAGAAUGCCCAUAUAAAAGUAGGAGCUGCAUGUGCAGCUCUGUGGCCAGGAGAUAAUCAUUGGUACAGAGCAAAAAUCAUGUCAAUACCUUCAAUGGAAAUGGUGCAGCUUUUUUAUGUUGAUUAUGGUACAAAAGAAGUAGUCCCGGUAUCAUUACUUAGAUACAUUCGGCAAAAACACAUGAAAUUGCCUGCUCAAGCUUUAAAAUCUCAACUUGCUUUCCUGAAACCUAAGGAAGAGAAUUGGAAUCUUGCUGUCAAGAGAAGGCUUUUAAGUCUAUGUCAAGAUGUUUCAUUGAUGGCUAAGAUAGAAGAAAGAAGUAUUGAUGGAACACUCUCUGUGAUUCUUUGUGAUACAAAUGGAGAACAAGAUAUCUAUAUUAAUGAUAUCUUAUUGAAGGAAGGGUUUGCAGAAAAUAAGAGUGCUUUGUAUCCCCAGUUAGGUGGCCAAGCUGCCUAUGGGAUUAAUAUUCCUCCAUUCCAAGCUGAAGGUGCCCAGCAUUUCCAGAGAAGCCCAUAUGCUGUUGUUGGUUCUCCACCAUCUACUGUAAAUGAUGUUGCUCUUAGUUUAUUGCAAAAGUUGACUUUAUGUUAUGCACAGAAUCCUCAGCUGAAGCAGCAGCAUAUCCAAAGUGGAUUUCUGAAUCCAUUUUUUAAUUUACCCUCUAGCACUAUGCUUGGGAAUCCUAGUCCUGUAAUGAAUCCUCUUCUAGCCUCUACUGGAUUAGUUGGACUUUCUCCUUUGACCCCUCCAUAUACUCCCAGUGCAUAUUUAGUUAACAUGUCAGAAUACCCAAGUCCACCUUCUGCUGAACUUAAUAGGCAACCUGUGAAACCAAAAUUUCCAUCUAGUAAGGAAAUGAAGGAAACAAAGAAACCAUCACUUGAUGAUUCUGAGAACAGUGAUGUAUUUGAUGAUGUUGAUGAUGAGAGGUUCCAGGAAUUUUAUGAAAAAGUAUUAUCUCCCGUUAGAAAAAGACUUGUAAAAAGGAUUAAUUUUGGGAAUGGCUAUGUAAUGCAUAUCAUUGUUUGGAAUUCAUUACCAUAUGUAUCAAGUGGAGAUAUUUCAGCUCUUAUUUGGUACAAUAAAGAAGCUGAUUAUUUAUUUCGUAGGUUACAACUUAAAGAAAUUACGUUUCCAGUAGUUGAUAUAUUUGAAGAAGGAAACGAAGAAUUAUUUAAUCAACUUAAAAGGUAUAAUGUUAAAGGUAUCCAAAAAGUUACCAGUUCAAAAUCUUGCGUUCAUCUUUAUCCUUUAUCCUGUGUCAUUAAAAUAUUGAACAUGUUUGGACAUCCAUCUGCCACAUUAAGGGUUAGAAUUGUGGAUGAAAUAUCCAGCUUCAAUUUAUCUGAUCCGAUAUGGCAAAAUCAGAAGCAAAUGAGAAUGAAGAAGUAGAAGUUCCAGAAACUGAUGAUGACAAGAUCAGCAGGCUUUGCCUCUUUGAUUUGCUUGCAAUGAAAGAAGGCAUUCGCUGUAGAAGGCUAAAAAUGGUAAACAAACUGAACGGUCCUGAGAAUUAUCAGUGUGUUGAAGAGAUUGAAAAGCUUGAACAGUUGCAUGAGAAAGUUUUAGAACGAAUCCAAGAAAUUAAAGAAGUGUGUGAACUUUUCUCAUAGAAAAAAG